rnacentral:rRNA from 1 species
UAUGGCAAUACCGCCCUGAAGGCACCUGAUCUCAUCUGAUCUUUGAAGCUAAGCAGGGUUGUGCCUGGUUAGUGCCUGGAUGGGAGUAUAUGAGAGGACGUGUAUAAGUUAUAU